UCAAUUGAAAGCUGAGCCCAGCAGGUGA
rnacentral:piRNA from 1 species